rnacentral:lncRNA from 1 species
CGCUAAUCAACUUGAUCUCACCUUCAGGGUAAAUUUUAAUUAUCUUAAAAUAAAAUUAUUAAUGUGAAUAUAUAAAUCAGAAUUUUACCGCAACAAAAAAAAAACAACAUUAGAUUAAUUGGAGUUGGAGUAAUAAUUUAUCAGUUACCAUUAAUAUAUUCAUAAGAUUUUACCUAUAAUAAUCUUAUAGGUACUUUUGCAUAGAACUUAGGGCCCGUUUGGCCAUAAAAAAAAAUUCACUACAUUUUUUCGGAAUCAUGAAAAUUUCAAAUUUUUUGAAUUUCGGAGUUUUUUUUUGGAAAUUUGAAAAACUCAGCUCUAGUCAAUAUCUUUUUCACUUAAUUUUUUUUUUUCAUUUUUCCCGGAAUUUUACGAUUCUAAUGUCCAAACACAUUUCUACAAUGCAGAGCUUCUUCCUAGCUGGAAACCCACAGCGUGGAGUACAACAACAAUUCGUAGGAAGACAACAAGAAACAACAAUGCAAGAAAGGAGAUCAGAACAAGAGACAACAUCUAAAGGAGGCAACAUUUUCAACGGUUUCGACACUGAGAUUUUGUCGGAAGCAUUCAACGUCGACGUCGAAACCAUAAGGAGACUUCAAGGACAGAACGAAGAGAGAGGUGUAAUUGUGAGAGCAGAAGAGCUUCGUUUAACUCUACCUGAAGAAUCUGAACAAGAAGAACGAAGGGAACAACAACAAAGAGAAGGAGGAAGAUGGCCAUUGAAUGGGUUGGAAGAAACAAUAUGUACAAUGAAGUUCAGGGAGAAUAUUGGUCAUCCUUCUAGAUCUGACGUGUACAAUCCACGUGGAGGACGCGUCAGCACUGUUAACAGCUUGAGUCUUCCUAUUCUUAACUUUCUCCAACUCAGUGCUGAGCGAGGAACCCUCUACCGGGUACGUAUAUGUAGGCAAAUUUAUAUACUAGCAGUAGUAGUAGUAUACUAUUUUCCAAAUUUUCUUGCUUAUAUAAAAAUAAUUUUGUCGCAUUUAACAACCUUACUUUAACAAAAUAUUUGAUAUUCUGGAACAACAAGAAAUUCUUUAACUUGUUUUAAAUAUGCCCUUACUAUUUACUACUGCUCAAAUAAGCAACGGUUGUUUCCCAAUGACCGGAACAAUAAGAAAUUCUUUAAAUUGUUUUAAAUAUGUCCUUACUAUUACUCAAAUAGGCAAUGGUAAAGUUAUCGUGACUGAUUUCUGGAACAACAAGAAAUUCUUUAAAUUGUUUUAAAUAUGUCCUUACUACUCAAAUUAGUGACUCUUAAUUAAGUGUUGGAGUUGUUUCCCGUAACCUACAGCUCACGCUAGAAGCAUUUAAUAUUUAUUUACAUCACACCCUAGGGUUAAGGCUUUUCCACAUAGGGUUAAUUGUGCACAGAGGUGCUCUGCCCUUUUAGUUUUCCAAAUGCAAACAAAGUUUCUAGAGACAUAUGGAAAAAAAGGAAAAGUUUGACAAAUUCAGGGAUGGUGGAGCAGAAUUUUAGAGGAAUUUUUCAAAAGAUGACUGACCCUUCCUUCGCAUAAUUAAAUUUUUUAUAUCAUUAGCUACAUGUGAAAUGUAAACAUGUGGAUAACUAGCUCUAUGUUGCUUGGCUUUGCAGAAUGCAAUAGUUGCACCACACUGGAACAUGAACGCCCACUCUAUCAUCUACAUCAUCAGAGGAAGCGGCCGAAUUCAGGUGGUGGGAAACGCGGGACGAUCAGUAUUCGACGACGAAGUCAGAGAGAAUCAGCUACUAAUUGUGCCACAGAACUUUGCCAUAGUGAAGAGAGCAGGCAAUGAAGGACUAGAGUACAUUGCUUUUAAGACUAAUGACAAUGCAAUGGUUAACCCACUGGCUGGAAGAUUAUCAGCACUUAGAGCAAUGCCAGAGGAAGUGUUAAUGAACUCUUACCAAAUUUCUAGGCAAGAAGCUAGGAGUUUGAAGUAUAAUAGGGAGGAGUUGACUGUUUUUGGACCAGGGUCUAGAUCUAGCAGGAGAGAAGAAUAUGCUUAGAAAAUGGAAAUAAGUGUAAUGUAAUGUUUGAAUCUUAUGUUGUGUUUUGCUAUGUUUUAAGUUGGGCCUUGUAUUAUAAGAGAAUAAAAUGGCUGAGAGUCUGGUUUUAAGAACUUGUACUGCGGAAGUUCUUGUGUUUAAAUUAUGAGUUAAUUACAUGAAUCACCAAUAAAAGAACUUUGAUUUCCUAAUGUUAUGAGCCAAGCGUACGUACCCUAUUUAGCAGUUCUUAUUUUCUAUACACAUCCAAAUUUAGGCUAUGCUGUCUCAGUUUUAUUAAAACGGCACAUCUCGAUUAUCGUGAGUUAAUAAAUUAAACUUUGAAGCUAAAUUGGAUAAGUUUAACUUAAUAUUUUAAAAUUAAAUUUUAAUAUAUAAAAAUUAUACGAAAAAUAUUACUAAGUUACACUCAUUUUUUAAAAUAUUGGUCAACUUUCACAUAGUUUAAAAAUAUGUUAUUUAAUUUGAAAUGGAGAGUGUAUUUUGAAACGGAGGGUGUAUUAGUUAAAAAAUUAGGCUAUUUUAGUUUAAAGUUUCUCCGAGUGCGAAGAACAUGACUCGGAGAACAUGAAGAUACGACAACAUUUAUUAAAUGUCAUAUUAAGCUUCUUAAAUUCGUUUAUUAAUAUUUAUUUUACAUACGACAUUUAUAAUCACUUUAGAAUGAAUUCCCUCAACUUCUAGACUAAAUCCUGCAAGAAAGCUUUUUGAAACCAUUUCUCCAUGAGUCAAGCUUUUCAUUGUCAGUAAUUCUCCUUCAAAAAUGUUGCACAAGAAGUCAUACAGGAAAAAAAAUUAUAACUAUAUAAUAAAUGGAAUUCUUUCCUCUUCGGUUAUAACAAAUUAGGAUACCAAAAAUAAUAGAUUGGGAUUCUAAAAAAUAAACAUACCUUAUAAUGGGUAUAAUAGCAGCAACUGAAAAUAGAAAAGAAAGAAAAUAAGGCAAAAGAAAAAGAGGAAAAAGUAUCUUAUAAUUUUUCAAAUGUACAAUUUUUUUGUUGUGCCUACUUCACUCAUUUCAGUCUUCUUGAUUGGGUUAACUUGAGGAGAAAUAUUAGAUUGGUUACUUUUAUAGUUUACAAAAUUCAAUAUUUAGCAAAUUAUAGAAUAAAAGAUACAAAAAUAAUAUAAAACCACAAAGAUUUUUCAUUUUAUAUUGAAAAAUACUUUGUUAAAUAUAGCUAAGGUAGCUUCAGACAACUUUUACGCCAUCAAAAUUCUUAUAGCGUAGUUUUUUGAACUUCUACCUCAACCCUUUAUCAAAAUCCCUUUACUCAGCCUGAGACUGUUUAUAUAUAGAGCCAUAAAUAAAAUUUGGAGUUGCUCCUUUUCCUAGAAUUCGAACAAACCCGAUGAGUAUCUGGUCGCAUAACUUGUGCAUAUAUAUUAUUGGGAGCACUUCCAGAGACAUUUAACUCAGAAUACACCUUAGCAAGUUAAUCAUUUCUUUCUUCUUCUUCUUUUAAAAGAACAGUAAAAUAAUGAAAAGUUAUAAUUUGUAGUGGUCACUUGCUAGCACUUGGUUCACUUCUUCAACCACCUAUAUCAUUAUAAAAUCAAUCUACAUAUUAACUUCGUGAACUACCAACGUAACUGAUCUAAACCGGCCGCAUUUGAUAAAUUUUUUCCUGUUUCAUUCCUCUAGAAUAUGAAGGUUGAUUCUUUGUUAAUCACUUCAGUAGUACUAAAAUGGAUCGGAAACUAGUUCUUCUUUCCAUGUUUGUCAUUAAACUUAUUUCUAAUAUAAUUUGGAAUGGGCAAAAGAAGCAUUUGAGUUGCUUGAAAAAUUAGCAAUUUAUUCUAUUUCACGUAGUGCUUUGCAAGCACUCACAAUACCUCAAAAGUAACUACCAGAAUAUUAUAUAUUAUCCAAUUACUUGGAAUAAAAAAAUUUAAUCUUGUUAAUGACUAUUUCUUGUAUCCAAUUCAAUUGAAACUCACUAAGUUAUCAAUAUCACUAUUUAACUCAAACAUAAUAAAUUAAAGAUACCCAUAUCAGAGGAGCAAUAAGAUAUACCUUGAAUUUAGAAUUAACAAUGGUUCGGACGAUUAUAUUGAUUAAAACACCUUGAAAUCUAGACAAUUUGUGGCUGAAAGUAACGUUUCUUGCGGCACCAAAGCUUCCGCCUAACUCUUCCUUCUCUAUUUUGCUCCACAAUUUGCAAGACCGAUACUUCCCUUAAUCCCCCUUCUAAUCUUAACGUCUGGUACAAAGUGGAUCCCGUUAUCUUCUCAAAUUUGAUAAUUCAAUUGUUGGUGUAUUUAGUUUCUUUCUUUGGGACUUGGUUGCGGGUGAAACCCUUUUUUUGUUGACUUUAUCAAGUCUUUCUCAUGGG